GACGAACGCUGGCGGCGUGCUUAACACAUGCAAGUCGAGCGGUAAGGCCCUUCGGGGUACACGAGCGGCGAACGGGUGAGUAACACGUGGGUGACCUGCCCUCAGCUUCGGGAUAAGCCUGGGAAACCGGGUCUAAUACCGGAUACGACCUGCCACUGCAUGGUGGUUGGUGGAAAGUUUUUUCGGCUGGGGAUGGGCCCGCGGCCUAUCAGCUUGUUGGUGGGGUGAUGGCCUACCAAGGCGGUGACGGGUAGCCGGCCUGAGAGGGCGACCGGCCACACUGGGACUGAGAAACGGCCCAGACUCCUACGGGAGGCAGCAGUGGGGAAUAUUGGACAAUGGGCGGAAGCCUGAUCCAGCAACGCCGCGUGAGGGAUGACGGCCUUCGGGUUGUAAACCUCUUUCAGUACCGACGAAGCGAGAGUGACGGUAGGUACAGAAGAAGCACCGGCCAACUACGUGCCAGCAGCCGCGGUAACAC
rnacentral:rRNA from 1 species